rnacentral:rRNA from 1 species
CAAGGGGUAUUACCUCAGUACGGCGAGUGAAGCGGUAAAAGCUCAAAUUUGAAAUCUGGCUCUUUCAGAGUCCGAGUUGUAAUUUGUAGAAGAUGCUUCGGGUGUGGUUCCGGUCUAAGUUCCUUGGAACAGGACGUCAUAGAGGGUGAGAAUCCCGUAUGUGACUGGAUACCUAUGCUCAUGUGAAGCUCUUUCGACGAGUCGAGUUGUUUGGGAAUGCAGCUCAAAAUGGGUGGUAUAUUUCAUCUAAAGCUAAAUAUUGGCCAGAGACCGAUAGCGCACAAGUAGAGUGAUCGAAAGAUGAAAAGCACUUUGGAAAGAGAGUUAAACAGUACGUGAAAUUGUUGAAAGGGAAGCGCUUGCAAUCAGACUUGCACUUGGUGUUCAUCAGGGUUUCGUGCCCUGUGUACUUCAUCAAGUUCAGGCCAGCAUCAGUUUGAGUGGUUAGAUAAAGGCUUGGAGAACGUGGCCCUCUUCGGGGGGUGUUAUAGCUCCAGGUGCAAUGUAGCCUACUUGGACUGAGGACCGCGCUUCGGCUAGGAUGCUGGCGUAAUGGUUGUAAGCGACCCGUCUUGAACCCACGGACCA